GACGAACGCUGGCGGCGUGCUUAACACAUGCAAGUCGAACGGAAAGGCCCUGCUUUUGUGGGGUGCUCGAGUGGCGAACGGGGGAGUAACACGUGAGUAACCUGCCCUUGACUUUCGGAUAACAUCAGGAAACUGGGGCUAAUAUCGGAUAGGAGAUCCUGCUGCAUGGUGGGGGUUGGAAAGUUUCGGCGGUUGGGGAUGGACUCGCGGCUUAUCAGCUUGUUGGUGGGGUAGUGGCUUACCAAGGCUUUGACGGGUCGCCGGCCUGUGAGGGUGACCGGCCACAUGGGGACUACGAUACGGCCCAGACUCCUACGGGAGGCAGCAGUGGGGAAUAUUGCACAAUGGGCGGAAGCCUGAUGCAGCAACGCCGCGUGCGGGAUGACGUCCUUCGGGUUGUAAACCGCUUUCGCCUGUGACGAAGCGUUAGUGACGGUAAUGGGUAAAGAAGCACCGGCUAACUACGUG
rnacentral:rRNA from 1 species